rnacentral:rRNA from 1 species
CCUACGGUGGGCUGCAGUGAGGAAUAUUGGUCAAUGGACGAGAGUCUGAACCAGCCAAGUAGCGUGAAGGAUGACUGCCCUAUGGGUUGUAAACUUCUUUUAUAUGGGAAUAAAAUGUUCCACGUGUGGGAUUUUGUAUGUACCAUAUGAAUAAGGAUCGGCUAAGUCCGUGCCAGCAGCCGCGGUAAUACGGAGGAUGCGAGGGUUAUCCGGAUUUAUUGGGUUUAAAGGGUGCGUAGGCGGAGCGUUAAGUCAGUGGUAAAAUUGAGGGGCUCAACCCCUUCCCGCCAUUGAAACUGGCGCUCUUGAGUGGAAGAGAGGUAUGCGGAAUGCGUGGUGUAGCGGUGAAAUGCAUAGAGAUCACGCAGAACACCGAUUGCGAAGGCAGCAUGCCGGCUUCCUACUGACGCUGAAGCACGAAAGCGUGGGGAUCGAACAGGAUUAGAUACCCGGGUAGUC